rnacentral:rRNA from 1 species
GAUGAACGCUAGCUACAGGCUUAACACAUGCAAGUCGAGGGGCAUCAGGAAGAAAGCUUGCUUUCUUUGCCGGCGACCGGCGCACGGGUGAGUAACACGUAUCCAACCUGCCCUUUACUCGGGGAUAGCCUUUCGAAAGAAAGAUUAAUACCCGAUGGCAUAAUGAUUCCGCAUGGUUUCAUUAUUAAAGGAUUCCGGUAAAGGAUGGGGAUGCGUUCCAUUAGGUUGUUGGUGAGGUAACGGCUCACCAAGCCUUCGAUGGAUAGGGGUUCUGAGAGGAAGGUCCCCCACAUUGGAACUGAGACACGGUCCAAACUCCUACGGGAGGCAGCAGUGAGGAAUAUUGGUCAAUGGGCGGUAGCCUGAACCAGCCAAGUAGCGUGAAGGAUGAAGGCUCUAUGGGUCGUAAACUUCUUUUAUAUAAGAAUAAAGUGCAGUAUGUAUACUGUUUUGUAUGUAUUAUAUGAAUAAGGAUCGGCUAACUCCGUGCCAGCAGCCGCGGUAAUACGGAGGAUCCGAGCGUUAUCCGGAUUUAUUGGGUUUAAAGGGAGCGUAGGUGGACUGGUAAGUCAGUUGUGAAAGUUUGCGGCUCAACCGUAAAAUUGCAGUUGAUACUGUCAGUCUUGAGUACAGUAGAGGUGGGCGGAAUUCGUGGUGUAGCGGUGAAAUGCUUAGAUAUCACGAAGAACUCCGAUUGCGAAGGCAGCUCACUGGACUGCAACUGACACUGAUGCUCGAAAGUGUGGGUAUCAAACAGG